rnacentral:lncRNA from 1 species
GAGGCUUGAGGUUCAUUUGAAAGCCAGUUUAUUUUUUUGGAAAGUUAUAUAGAGCUGUCUUCUCAUCAAAGGAGUACUGAGAGCUUAUGAGAUGGAUAUUCCAUCCUUCCAUCCCUACUGUGGGUUGAAUGAUGAGAUGAUGGAGCACAAUAUCCUUCAAUUUUUUGUUUGAGAGCAAUAUAUAUCUGGCAAUUGACCAUUCUUUUUUUUUUU